UCCAUCUGGCCACCGAAAGGUUGCUCCUUAACACAGGCUAAGGACCAGCUUCUUUGGGAGAGAACAGACGCAGAGGCGGGAGGCAAAAAGGGAGAGGCAGACGUCACUUCCCCUUGGCGGCUCUGGCAGCAGAUUGGUCGGUUGAGUGGCAGAAAGGCAGAUGGGGACUGGGCAAGGCACUGUCGGUGACAUCAGGGAUAAGGCGACCUCUAUGUAGAUGAGGCAGCGCAGAGGCUGCUGCUUCGCCACUUGCUGCUUCGCCACGAAGGAGUUCCCGUGUGGUGGGAGCGGAUUCAGGACCGCUGAUCGGAAAAAAUGAAAGUGAUCAUGAGCAAGAGGAAGAAAAAGGGCCAGUGUCUCCCAGUUUUCCUUUUAACAGUGAGGUCCCUCAGCUGCAGGUCUGGUGGAGUUUGCUGGAGGUCCACUCCAGACCUUCAAACAGGGAUUUCUUGGUGUCACCUGUUCUCUCCCACAUGUUUAAAUCCAGGGAGAGAAUGUAUAAAUGCUUUCUGCUUAUUUUUUGUUAGUAUGUUUGCUAGUAUUUAUGUAAGCAAAGAAAUUGAAAAAAUAAACAUAUUAUAUCAAAAUAUCGUAAAAAGGGACCCUUAAUACACAAGAUCUGUGUCUGCACUGCCUCAAGAGCUCUGUUCACUUGAAUGCUGCAUGUAAAAUUCAUCCCAAUUUAGACGAAGUAGUUGAAGCCCUGUGUUAGUUCUCUGUGCUGCAAGUCAUGAUGGUAGUUUGCAGAGAGAGUCUGGGUG